rnacentral:lncRNA from 1 species
CCAAUCGCGCUUUAUAUGUGUGUACGUUUCCAUCCACGUCGGUCUUCUUCUUGAAGAUCCAUUUGCACCCAACGGUCUUACGUCCGGGCACAUAAUCAACCAAAUUCCAAACUUGGUUAUCAUACAUGGAUUGGAUCUCGCUAUCCAUUGCCUCUUUCCAUUUUGCAGACUCCGGGCCUGCCAUGGCUUCCUUAUAGCUAUUAGGUUCAUCAAGAUUUAUUAGUGUACCAUCACUAAUAUACGUGUCCCCUUCGGUAGUAAUAUGAAAACCAUAAAACUGGGGUUGAACUCUAACUCUAUCGGAACGUCUAAGAGGUAAGGAUUCGUCAAUCGGUUCAACCGGAGUUUCCUCCUCGGGUUGAGUGCCAGCGGUAGAGGUUCCUUCAUCUAUCGACUCUUGAAUCUCUUCAAGCUCGAUUUGCCUCCCACUGUCUCCUUGGCUUAUGAGUUCUCGCUCUCGGAAAACUCCUCUCCUCGCAACGAAGACAACAUUGUCCUUCGGUCUAUAGAAGAGAUAUCCAAAGGAUGUCUGCGGGUAGCCGAUGAAAAUACAUCGCUCACUUCGAGGUUCAAGCUUGUCGUGAGUAUCUCGUCUUACGAAAGCCUCGCAACCCCAAACCUUGAUAUGUGCCAACGAGGGAGCUUUCCCUGUCCACAUCUCGUGAGGUGUUUUGGCAACCUUCUUAGUAGGGACUCGGUUAAGGAUAUGGGCGGCAGUCUCUAAGGCAUACCCCCAAAAAGAGAUAGGUAGUGAAGCACGACUCAUCAUAGAGCGAACCAUAUCCAAUAAGGUUCGAUUACGCCUUUCUGCCACACCAUUCAACUGCGGUGUCCUAGGAGGCGUCAAUUGCGAAACUAUUCCACACUCCUUGAGAUAAUCGUGGAAUUCAAGACUUAGGUACUCUCCUCCUCGAUCGGAUCGAAGCAUCUUGAUUUUCCUGCCCAAUUGAUUCUCCACUUCAUUCUUGAACUCUUUGAACUUUUCAAAGGUGUCUGACUUUUGCUUGAUUAAGUAGAUAUACCCAUAUCUACUAUAGUCAUCGGUAAAAGUCACAUAGAAGCGGUUCCCAUCCUUCGUGGUUGAUCUAAACGGUCCACAUACAUCGGUAUGUAUUAGGUCCAAUAGACCCUCGCCCCUUUCACAUGUACUCGUGAAGGGUGACUUAGUCAUCUUUCCAAGCAAACAAGACUCGCAUGUGUCAUCUUCCCUAAGGUCGAAUGACUCCAACACUCCAUCCUUUUGGAGUUGGGCUAUGCGUUUCUUGUUGACAUGUCCAAGACGACAAUGCCACAAGGAUGCUUUAUCCAUACUAGUGGAAGAAUCAAUAUUCAAAACAUCAUUUCCUAAGUUAUCAACAAUCAUAACGGUUUCAUAUAUUCCAUUACAUGGUAUAGCUUCAAAGUAAAAGACACCAUUUAGAUAAGCCAAAAUAGAACCAUUCUCAUUAUUAAAAGAAAAUCUAAAUCCUUGUCUAUAUAAACCAUGAAAUGAAAUGAUGUUUCUUGCCAUUUCUGGCGAAUAGCAACAAUUGUUCAAAUCUAAAACUAAACUAUUCCUAAGCACUAAGGAAUACACUCCAAUCUUGGUCACAGGCGACGAUCUUCUGUUCCCCAUGAUUAGAUUGAUCCUUCCUUGCUCCACAUCCCUACUUCUUCUUAGUCCCUGCACAUUAGAACAAAUGUGAUAACCACAACCGGUAUCAAGAACCCAAGAAAUAGCAUGAUUAGAAUCGUUAGAUUUGAUUGUAUAUAUACCUGCGAAAGAUGGCUUGAUCUUUCCUUCUUUGAUUGCUUGCAGGUAAUCCGGGCAGCUUCUCUUCCAAUGUCCUAUCUUGUGGCAGUGGUGGCACUCUGCCUCCUUCGGGUUAGAGCAGGGCUUGGCGGGAUCAACUUUGGUCCCACUAGAAGAGGCACCAUCUCGGGCUUUCACCUUGCGAUAGUUCUUCGAUGAAGCUUUCCUCUUCUUUCCCUUCCCUUGUCCAAUAGCCAAGACAGGAGCAGCGGGCGGAUUGGGAGUAGGUGCAACAGACUUGUCUUUGAAGUUGCUCUCAGCAACCCUCAAGAGACCUUGGAGCUUGCUUAGGGUGACCUCUUCUUUGUUCAUGUGGUAGGUCAUCCUAAAUUGGUUGUACAUCGGAGGCAAAGAGUGAAGCACCAUGUCGAUCGCCAAGUCUUCACCGAAGUCAACAUUUAACUUGCGGAGGCGGUCAACAUACCUUUGCAUCUUUUGCAAGUGCACGGUAAGAGAUUCUCCAUGACCCAUCUUCGCGGAAAUCAUGUUAGUGAAAAUCUCGUACCUCUCUUGUCUCGCGUUUUGGUGGUACCUCUCCAAUAAGUCUUGAUGCAUCUCGUACGGGUACAUGUCCUCGUAGGACUUUUGGAAUUCGGAGUUCAUGGUGGCGAUCAUGAUGCAAUGUACCUUCGUUGCAUCUCGCUCAUGAGUUUCAAAGGCGGUGAUUUCGGCGGGAGUAGCAAUUUCGGGGUUGAUUUUCUCGAGCUUCUCAUCGAGGACAUACUCCUUAUCCUCAUAGCGAGCAAUGGUGCGAAUGUAUCUUAUCCAUUCGCUAAAGUUCGUUCCAUCGAAGGUGACCUUUUGGCAAAGGCUCAUCAACGUGAAAGAACUAGCAGCAGCGUUGUUUGCGUUCGACAUCUACAAUUAGAAAAGGACAAAGAUAGAUUAGAAUAAGAAUCCCUAAUUAUCACCCAAUAAGAAAAUUAGGGCUAGGAUCCAACAAUAACAUUUACAUACUAGAAAAGGGAUGCCGUAAUCUAACAUGCAAAUAAAUUGAAGGUAAGUGAAUGACGAUUCACUAAUUCUCCAUCACAAAACUUAAACUAUUAGUCCUAAGUGUUUUUGAGAAUUCCUAGGUUCGGAUGAGAUUCAUUGAAACUAUUCAAUGGCAUGUUUAAAUCUCGAUAUGCCCCUCUUGUUUGUGACUGGGAUGCCGAGGAUCACAAAGCGGGUGUGAAUUACCAUGCAAAUUCACAUGGUGCCUUCAUUGUAACAAUCACCUAUUCGAUGUGCCGGUAAACCACACACGCUCCAUCGAACUAUGAUAAACAAUGAAUCACCCUUUGCCACCUUCGCUUAGAACCAAUUAGUGUGCCGGUAAACCACACACGCUCCACUAACAUCUUAGCAAGGUGCAAAGUGUAAUUUCAUGGGAUUGCAUCAAUUCACUUUUCCUAAAGUAACUAGGAUUGGGAAAUUUUAAAAAAAUGUGUAGUUACUUUAUAUUUCUUAUUAUACUUUUAAUGAGAGGAUGAGGUUGCCCUAUCCUACCCGUUCGGCUAACGACCCUCCACCAAUCAAGCAAGCGGUGGGUGUGAGUGUACACCCAUUAAGCGCCAUUUUAUAGGCCGCAACCUUAUACCCACCUUAUAGAUCGGCUUCGUGAAUGAGGCCUACUAACGGUAAGACUAGCAUUUAGUUAUACAUAUAUAUAUUAUUCUAGUAAUAUCAUAUUAGUAUAGGGUUGUAUUUUAAAACUUUUAAAAUCUAGGGUUUGAAAUUUAAGUUGUCUAAAUUAAAACUUUUAAUCACAAAAGUAAAUUUCAAAACAUGAGGGUAGGUUUUAAACAUUUAAAACAUGGAGGAUCAAAUAACAAAUAAUUCCAAUUAACAAUUAAUAUCCUAAUUAUCUAUAUUUGAUUUAUUCAAGAUUUCUUUUAAAGAUAAUUACCAAAAUAAUCAAAAUAAUUAAUUAAUUAUCAUAUAAGGAAAUUAAAUAUUUAAUUAGUUGAUAAUUACCUUUAACUAGAUCAAGAUAAUAGUUAUAUUUAUCAGAAAAACGAAUUAAUGUUGAUCUAAUUAGUUUAUGGUAAGUUAAGAUAAGAUAAACACAAAGAAAUCCCGAAUCUGGCCAUUCCUGACGCCUGGACUCGCCGAGUGCACAAAUGGACUCGCCGAGUCAGGCCUACUCGCCGAGUCCACUUUGAGACUCGCCGAGUCCAUGACUCAGAAACCAAAAAUUCGAAUUUUGCAGGUUUGUUUCAGUUAAUCAAGCAACAAUUUACAGAAAACCAAGCUAGGCUCUGAUACCACUGAUGGGUUUUAGCCAUAAGAACUUUCCUAUGUGCGCAUGCAAAACCCUAAUGCUUGGAUCUAGGCUUUCUAAUAAACAUGCUUUGAAUCCAAGACUUCUAAUUACUAAUUAGGUUAAACAAGAACAUUAAAACAGAUCUAGAAUCAUACCUUUGAGUUCCUUGUUGAUCUUGAGGUCUUGGAGCUUCUAGAGUCACAAAUGUCACUCCUCUAAUGGCUUACAAACACCAAAGCAAGGAGGAUGAUUUGGGAGAGAGGAGAGGGGAGGAAUUUCGACCAGAGGUUCCUUACUUUAGGUCAAGUGUCGAAUUCCAUCAGCCAUGGGGUCUAUUUAUACUUGUAGACUCCUUAAGGAUUACAGAUAAGUCCCUAUCAGAUAAUCUUCUCUUAAGGCUAUCCAAAUCCAUUCCUAGAUAACUCUAAUGGACGAUUUUAGCUAUCCUAAUCCUCUUAGAAUUCGUCCAUAGUAUAUCCAAAUGGAUUUACAGUUUAAAGCUUAACUAUCAAACAAUUGACAGUUUAUACCCCUUUAUUUAAUUAAUCUCUUUAAGUCACCAAAUUAAUUCUAAUUAAUUCUAUGACUUAUAUUAAUCAAAUAACAAAUAUAUUAUUCAUUAUAUUAUUCUCAUAAUAUAUUAAUAAUAUUUACUCUCUCUUAAUAAAUCAUCCUAUCAAGUUGCUAUGGUGAAGGCAACCCAAAAGGACCAUGCACAACCGGGUCAAAUACUUGUCUAAUAUAGUUGCAGCCUUAGACACUAUUCCAACACUAAUAUGCACUUACGCAAGUGUGACACAUGGAAUGUGGUGUGGAUCUGACUAAGCUCCUUCGGGAGAUCCGGUUUAUACGCCACUUUGCCAACCCUGGCAAUGAUCCUAAAUGGCUCGAUGUAUCGGGGUCCCAAUUUUCCCCUCUUCCUGAAUCAAAUCACACCCUUCCAAGGUGAGACCUUCAGGAGUACCAAGUCACCUACCUGGAACUCCAUCUCAGAUCGGCGUCUUUCAGCGUAACUCGUCUGCUGACUCUGAGCGGUGUGCAGCCGCUGUCUGAUCUAUUGAAUCAUUUUGGUAGUCUGCAGAACUACCUCUAUCCGUCCCAUCACCCUGUGACCGAUCUCAACCCAACAAAUUGGGGUGUGACAUCUCUGUCCAUACAACAGCUCAUAUAGUGGAGCACCAAUACUAGAAUGCAAGUUGUUGUUGUAGGAGAACUCUACAAGGGGUAGGUAGGAGUCCCAACUCCCACCGAAGUGAAUAACGCAUGCUCUCAGCAUAUCCUCGAGAGUCUAUAUGGUCUGCUCACUCUGGUCUUCUUCCUGCGGAUGAUAGGUUGUACCGAAGUGCAGCCGUGUGCCCAGUUCCUCGUGGAACUUCUUCCAAAAACGAGAGGUAAACCAAACAUCACGGUGUGAGACAAUAGAAACCGGUACCCCAUGGUGAGCAACGAUCUCACGGAUAUACAAGUCGGCCAGCUUCUCGGCCGAUGAACUCUCCCGUAUCGCUAAAAAGUGGGUUGUUGGUCAAUCAAUACACGAUGACCCAAAUAGCAUCGAAGCCCCUAGCCGCCCUCGGUAGCUUGGUGAUGAAAUUCAUCGUGAUCUAUUCCCAUUUCCACAUAGGAAUCUCCAGAGGCUGCAGCUAAAUGUGUGGCCUCUAAUGCUCGGAUUUGACCAUCUGGUAGGUCAAACACCUCUCAACAUACCAUGCAAUCUCCCUCUUCAUGCAUGGCCACCGGUAACUUAAUAGCAAAUCCCGGUACAUCUUAGUGGCCCCCGGGUGAAUAGAGAAACGAGACUUAUAAGCCUCCUCCAGAACAAUUUGUCCGACCCCACCAGAAAUCGGAAGCCAGAUCUGCCACAACGGGUCAACAACCCCCGGCUAUCCUGCACAAACUGGGUGUUCUCACCCCUAAUCCUCUCAAGCUUUCAAUUCUCCUGUCGCAUACCCUCAUCCUGAGCUUCCCUGAUCAAGUUCAAAAGUGGAGAAUCCACUGAUAUCCUCAUACAUGUCGUUGGGGUAGAAGAUCCAGCUGACUUGCGGCUCAGAGUGUCUGCAACCACGUUCGCUUUACCAGGACGGUAAAGGAUCUCACAGUCAUAAUCCUUGACCACGUCAAGUCGCCUGCAUUGUCUCAUGUUUAGGUUCGGCUGAUCCAUGUUGUGCCUCACACUCUUGUGGUUCGUGUAUAUGGUACAAAAGACCCCAUAGAGGUAAUGUCUCCAAAUCUUGAGAGCAAAUACCACUGUUCCCAACUCUAGAUCAUAAGUAGGGUAUCUCGUCUCGUGCAGCUUCAAAUACCGUAACGAGUAGGCUAUCACUCGUCCUCUCUGCAUGAGGACUGCCCCCAGCCUCGUGAGGGAUGGAUCACAGAACACUACAAAAUCAUCAACUCCUUCUGGGAGAGUCAAAAAGUUGUUGUCUGAGGGUCUCAAAUGCCCUCUGCAGCUCAGGGCCCCACCGAAAAUCCACCCCUUCCUCGUCAGACGAGUGAGGGGCACUGUAAUCUUGGAGAAAUCAUGUAUGAAUCUCCGGUAGUACCCUACCAAUCCCAAGAAACUCCUUAUAUCUGAGGGAGAUUUCGGAAUCUCUUACUUCAUAACCGCCUCGAUUUUGGCCGGAUUGACCAAAAUCCCCUCCUGGUUAACGAGAUGUCCAAGGAACUGAACCUCCUGUAACCAAAACUCGCACUUCGAGAACUUGGCAUAAAGCCAUUCUCACUUCAAAACUCCCAAUAUCUCCCAAAGAUGCUCCCCAUGUUGUUCUCGGGUCUUAGAUUACACCAAGAUAUCGUCUAUAAACACGAUGACCGAGCGAUCGAGCAUAGGUUUGCAGACCCAAUUACUUCAGGUCCAUGAACACCGUCGGCGCGUUGGUGAGCCCAAAAGCCAUCACUACAAACUCAUAACGUCCAUAACGAGUCUAAAACGCGGUCUUCUCCACGUCCUCCUCCCUAACCCUGACCUGAUGGUACUCGGACCUCAAGUCUAUCUUGGAGAACCAAGAUGCCCCCUGCAACUGAUCGAAAAUAUCAUUUAUCCUUGGGAGUGGAUAACGGUUCUUCACCGUCAACUUUUUCAACUCCCGGUUGUCAAUGCACAUACGGUGUCAACCAUCCUUCCUCCUGAUGAAGAGAAUCGACGCUCGCCACAGAGAACUGCAUAGACGAAUGAACUACUUACCCAGCAGUUCCUGCAGUUGUGAUGACAUCUCAUGCAUCUCUGGUGGUUCCAAUCGAUAUGACGCCUUGGCAAUAGGGGUUGCACCUGGCACUAGUUUAAUCUGAAACUCGACCUGUCUCUCCGGAGGCACUACGGGUUACUCCAGCGGAAACACGUUAACGAACUCCCUGACUACUGGAACCUCUGAAAUCGUGGUCUGAUCCCUGACCCACGUAUCCACCACAUACUUUAGAUAACCCGUACACCCGUGCUGAAGGUACUACCGAGUUCUGGCAGCUGAACAAAACCCUGAUCCUAAUCUGGUGCCCUCACCGUAGAUAAUCAGCUCUCCCCCACUUGGGGUUUGAACUACCACCCGUUGACCCUAGCAGUCGAUCAUGGCACUGAAUCGACUACGCCAGUCCAUACCUACAAUAACACAUACCUCCCUCUUGGGAAUCGGAAUCAAGUUUAUUGGGAAAGAUACCCCAAAGAUCUCCAACACGCAGCUCCGAUAGACUGAAGAAGAGAAAAUAUCAUGUUCGUUGGCGAUAGAGACUCGCAACGGACAGUCUAGCUCUCCUACUGGCAACCCGAACUCCCUACUGAAUGACUGAGAAACAAAUGACUGACUUGCCCCCGAGUCAAAUAAUACCAAAUCAGGUAAAGAGUUCACUAAGAACGUACCUAAUCAUAGGUACAACAUAUUAGCAUAAAAUAGAUAUAAUCAUUAAGAUAAAGGGUAGAAACAUACCAGCAACCACAUCCGGUGCUGCCCUGGCCACCUCUGUCGGAAGUUGGAAGGCGCGUUCCUGAGCCCUCGGGGGUGCUGCUCUACCCUAACUCCUGUCAGUAAUCCUCAAUGUAGCUGGAGCAGGAGCCUGCGCCGGCUUGGUGGCUAGUAGGGGACACUGGGCCUUCAUAUGGCCCACUUGCUAACAAUGGUAACAAAGUAUGCCCCGAAACCUGGAUUCUGCUGCCUGCAAUCCUUGUCAAGGUGGCCCUGCUUUCCAUAUUUGUGGCACCCGCUCCCCGAUCGGAAAACCCCCGAAUGAGCCUUCACUCACAUCCCACAUGUAUAGCCCGACUGACAUCCAGACCGGGAAUCAGCGAUCAUGGACCGCUUUGGUGCCGGUUGUGACUACGUCGGCGCCUGCCUCUGCUCCCAUAAUUGUAACUCGAUCUCAAGCUCACGCCGCCUAGUGGCCUCUUGUAACUCCAGCAAUGUAUCACAACGUUGGGUAGCAACAAAAUGACGGAUAUCGGUCUUGAUCAUGCUCAGAUAACGUGUCAUCUGAGCCAGCACAGAAUCAAACUUCGGGAAAAACAUCGCCCUCUCAGUGAACAUACGAGUGAUCUCUGUCACCAUAUCCGUACCAUGUCUCAGAUCAAAAAACUCAUGUGACAGCCACUCGUGCUCGACCCAUGGAAUUUAGCGAGCACGGAACAUCUCGCUGAACUGCUCCCAAGUAACCGCAUCCCUCUGAUCAUCAGUAUAUGACCCAGUCAUCAACCUCCAACAGUCCUUUUCCACGAAUCUCAACAAUUUCAGGGCACAUUUGACCUUCUGGUCAGCAGGACAUGAGCACGUGAAGAAACAUAGUUCCACGUCAGACAGCCACCUCAUGGCUAUGAUUGGAUCCUAAGUCCCAUCGCAGGCUAGAGGCUUUGUGUUAUCGAAGUCCUGCUACUAAAAACCUCACCCUGUCCUUGUACUCGCAGCCGCCAUGGCUGCAGCAGCCAGAGUCUCAACAAUUAUUGUGUACCUGUCAUUAAAAUACUCCAUUCAUGGCGGUCUUGAUAGACCCAAACAUCCCCGAAACCUGACCCCGGACAAUCUCGACCACCUUCUCACGGAUGAUCUCUCUGACACGAUCCUCGGUCAAUGUUGGCCUAUCCUGGCCGAUAGUCUCGGGCAUUGUCGAGGCACCCUGACAGCCCUGCCCUGAUCCCGAUCCAGAUCUAGUCACAAAUCGCCUCGUAACCACCAUACUGAAAGUACACGAGGAAGAUAUCAAAUAAUCCCCAUAAAGAAUAGGGAAUCAACUCCUAACUAAACCCUAGGGGUUGUGACUUCCUUGCUACACGUAUGGGUCCUAUGGUUUCAGUAGUACGGGCCCAUACUACCUUCCACACCUAUGCAUAUUUGUCUCAAGUAUCAUCACAACGCCCUAACAAUAUACAUACGCAUGGUGAGCGCUCAAUCCUCACUCCUAGAGGAAGGCUAAGUAUCUCAUAACUGACCGACUAACCCCACACAACUCACCCAUGAAACUUCCACCCUCCCUGCAGCACUAGUGUAUGCUAGUCUUAUAUAACGUUGGACCCUAUAUACUUUUGAAUACGUGAUCGUACCCUAAGCCCUUCAUCAAGCAAGAACAGGAAAUAAGGCCAAACCAAACAUUCUCAGGCAAUAAGAUCUUAAUUAUGUAUAACUAUGAUGCAUACACUAAGUAACUAUAGUAAAAAUGUCAAUUUGAUAUAAAGAAAUCCAAGGCUAUCAGGCAUCAUAUAAUCAAGCAAUUCUUUCAUGCAAUUCCUGAAGAUCCUUAGCCUAUCACUAGCAUGCUGUUUUAACACAUCCCAAUAUCAAAUAACUGCAUGGUAUUUUGGGGUCUACUUACUGGCUCCGGCUGAUCGUACAUUCUGCAUCCUCCUUCACUUAUUUUGAAAACCAUUUUGAAAUUCUUUUCCUUAGUUUGAGACCGGAUUCACACGAGUGUUCCUCCAAUUCACUCAAAGUAAUGCUAUAAUACCAACUUGUAACACCCAUAAAAAAUCAAGCCAAUUUAAAACUUUUUCAACCAUUCAAAACCAUUAAGUCAUUACAAAGUGUUUUCAAAAUAGGUUAGACAUCAGAGUAUCCCAGAAAUCAACAUCAUAAAAAUAUGAGGAGGUACACGAUCACGCCUUCGCCAUCCCGCGAUCAUCUAAAGUACCUGAAACGAAAUCCAAAAUUGUAAGCCCGAAGCUUAGUGAGUUCCCCCAAAAUACUCGCACAGUAAGUAACACGCAUAUAAUAACAGCAAACUAUGGGCCUAAUCAACCAUCGGGUUGGAAUGCCAACAUACUAUGAGUCCAGUCAUCCUCGAGAUGGUAUACCCUCGGCCCACAACCAUUGGGUUGGAAUGCCCACAUACUAUGAGCCAAUCAUCCUCGGGAUGGAAUACUCAUGGCCCACAACCAUCGGAUUGGAAUGCCCACAUACUACAAGUCCAAUCAUCAUUGGGAUCGAAUACUCACGGCCCACAACCAUCGGGUUGGAAUGCCCAGGUCUGUUGGCUCUCGCACAAAGUAGAUAAGCCUCAACCACCAGUCAAACGUGUGCACAUAUAUCAUAUAUCACAUAAUAUUCUAUAUAUAGACAAACCGAUCUAACAGAUCAUAACAACAUAAUAACAUCCUAUCUACCAGGAUACCGAUCUAACAGAUCAUAAUAGCAUAAUAUCAUCCUAUCUACCAGGAUACUGAUCUAACAGAUAAUAACAACAUAAUAGCAUCCUAUCUACCAGGAUAUUGAUCUAACAUAUAACCCUUGAGUAUAGUGAGGAAAACUCACCUCAAAAGUAGCUUGGGAUGAUAAUGUCAACUCUCUAAAUAUAGCUCCACACUCAAUCACCUAUAUCCACCAAUAUUCCACUUCCAUAAAUUUAAGAAUUACUAAUAUACCCCCAGAAGUCAAACUGGUCAACCCUUGGUCAAAGUCAAAGUCAAUGGUCAAGGUCAACAGUCCAUGUUGACCCAACUCAUCGAGUGUAGCUAACUGACUCGUCGAGUUCCAUUAGAACUCAAGAAGUCGUUAAAACCCUAGUCAACUCGCUGAGUUUCCAGACAACUCGUCGUGUCCAUGUGGUGUCUAAAUGUCGGGAAAACCCUAACUGACUCGUCGAGUCAUCUCACCGACUCGCCGAGUACAUGCAGAACCAAAAACGGCCAAUCUUCAUCUGACUCAUCGAGUUAACCAUGAAACUCGUCGAGUCCUUUCACUCCAUUUCUCAUUAAGACGUUUUUAAGCUAUCUCAGUGCUCCAAAUUGUAGAUCUAGCUUCCUAAGGCAUAGCUACCACGUAAAGUUCCAAACUAUACGUGUAUGCAAGGUCUUAAAGGCUUAAAACACCAAAACCAAGUCUAGGAUGAGGUUUAGCGCAUGGAGAAAGGCCAAUACAAGAUAAAGUUGAUAACUUUAUGAAUUUUGGGCCUAGAGGAGUCUAGAUCUAAUACUAUGUCCUUGUGACAAGCUCAAACCCAAGAUUGGCUCCAUUAACCCCCCAAAAAAUGACCAUAAAUGUCCAUAGAAGAAGAUCUAAGCAUGAAAGGUUCAAGGUAUUAGCUUUAUACCUCAUAUUGGUUGCCAAAAACAAAGUAGAUGACAAAUACGCUUCCUCCUUUUCGAUCCAAGCUCCUCACUUUUCAAGUUUCCCUUCCAAAAUCAACAAAUAACACCUUUCAAGCUCUCAACACACACAAUGGGGGUUUAGGACUCGAUCUAGGGUUUCCUCUGGCUGUAAUGAUGAUGAGGGAGGCUAGAAACGACCCAUAAGUUCUUUAAAUAGGGUACAAAUCCUAAAAUUUAGGGUUUCCAUGCACAGCCUCUACUCGUCGAGUCGGGGUCCUCCGAGUCGUCGAGUAGAAGUCAUAAAUCACGCGGGCUGACUAGAUUCGAGACGACAAGUUGGGGCCUCCAACUCGUCGAGUUCCUUCAAUAAAAUGAAUAUAAAGCUUUUAAAAUUAUACAUGGGAGUCGCGUGUUACAAUUAUCCUCUCUUCACUUUUAUUUUUUACCCUGUUGAUUUGAUCAUUUAGGUUAGAAUUACUUAGACGUGUUCGUUUUAAACUACCACUAAAAUUAGAGACGGUAUAAUUUAAAUCAUCUAAUUCAGAUUCGCAAUGACUAACAUUAAUAUUAAGACACUGGAGUAUAGAGUGUACCUUAUUGAUGACCUUCUCGCAUUCAUUCACCUGUUCAGAAACAAGCCUCGCUACGAAAUAGCUUUCAGUGGGACGGUCGUCAUCAGUUACAUAUCCCCUCUGUUCUGAGACAACACUCUGAACCAUCAAACAUCUUCCUUCGUACUCUGGUGCUCCAUACUUAACCACAAAACAUCUACCAUGUGUGGGCUUCCGAACUUACUCAUCCUCAGAAUAUGUUGACCAAACUUCAACAUGUCGAAACUCAUCAUCACCUUCCCGCACAAUCAAAGCAGGCUUCACAUUAUCAACACUCUUUUUCUUCCUUAGCUCUUCUAUCUUUUGAAGAUAGUAAGCUUCAUCCUUCUCUUCUUCCUUAUUUUCACUCAUCCUUCUCAGCAUACACUUUUAGCAAAAUGAUUUUUGCCAUGGCAGUAGUUGCAAUCAUAGCCAGAAUCUACCAACAAUUUAUUCUCUUGUUUUUCUUUAUCAUCUACAAAACCCUCUAGCCGAUUCAUGUAAACAUCCUCAACCAACUUUACAUUAAGGAAAGCAGUUUUGACAUCCAUCUGCCAAAUUUCAUAGUCAUGAAAUGCAGUUAUGGCUAACAUAAACCUAAUAGAUUUAAUUUUAACCACCGGUGAAAAGGUCUCAUCAUAGUCAACCCCCUGGGUUUAAGUAAAGCCCUUCGCAACCAGUCGUGCCUUAAAGGUGUGCACCUUUCCAUCCGUGUCAGUCUUCUUCUUGAAGAUCCAUUUCCACCCAACUGUCUUACGACCUGGUAUGAAAAUCAAGUUUGGAACUUGGUUGACAAUGUGAGUCUCUCGUUUAACAAAAGCUUCACAACCCUAAACCUUGAUAUGUUCUAACAAGGGAACCUUCCAUGUCCAUAUUUCGUGAGGUGUUUUGGCAACCUUCUUUGUCGGAACAAGAUUUAAAAUGUGGGCGAAGUCUCUAAGGCCUACCCGUAUGAUGAGAUUGGUAGGGAAGCUCGACUCAUCAUGGAACAAACCAUAUCCAACAAGGUUCGAUUACACCUAUCAACCACACCAUUAAGUUGUGGUGUCCUAGGAUGUUUCAGUUGUGAAACAAUUCCCUUGAGAUAGUCAUAGAAUUUGAUACUAAGAUACUCACCACCUCUAUCAGAUCUGAGCAUAUUGAUCUUCCCGCCCAAUUGAUUCCGACUUCAUGUUUGAAUUCUUUUAACUUUUCAAAGGUUUCUGACUUAUGCUUGAUUAAGUAGAUAUAUCUAUAUCUGUUAUAAUCAUCAUUAAAAGUCACAUAAAAUCGAUUUGCAUCCCUUGUGGUGGAUUUGAAGGUCCCACACACAUCCGUGUGUAUGAGAUCCGACAAUCCCUCACCUCUUUCACACGAACCCGUGAAAGGUGAUUUAGUCAUCUUUACAAGCAAACAAGACUCGCAUGUAUCAUCUGACCUUAAGUCAAAUGAUUCCAACACUCCAUCCUUUUGGAGUUGGGUAAUACGUUUCUUGUUGAUAUGUCCAAGACGAUAAUGCCACAAGCAUGCCUUGUCUAAACCAUUAGACGAAUCAAUAUGUAACACACUAUUUCCUAAAUUGUCUAUAACUAUCACAGUUUCAUACACACCAUCACAAGGUAAUGCUUCAAAAUAAAAUACACCAUUAUAAUAAGCAUGAAUAGAACCAUUCUCAUUAUCAAAAGAAUAUCUAAAACCUUGUCUAUAUAAACCAUGAAAUGAAAUAAUAUUUCUUGUCAUUUCAGACGAUUAGCAACAAUUAUUUAAAUCUAAACAUAACCCACUACUAAGCACUAAAGAAUAAACGCCAAUCUUGGUAACAAGCGACGAUCUCCUAUUGCCCAUAAUUAGGUUCAUCUUCCCAUGCUCCACAUCUUCACUUCUUCUUAGUCCCUACAAGUCAGAGAAAAUAUGAAAACCACACCCUGUAUCAAGAACCCAAGAAUGUGAUGAGUUUUUAAAUAGAAUAGUGAAAAUACCUGCAGAGGUUGGCUUAACCUUGCCAUCCUUUAUGUCUUACAACUACUUGGGGAACCUUCUCUUCCAACGCCCCUUUUCAUGGCAGUAAAAGCAAGUAGCUUCCUUUGGAUUAGAGGAAGGGGAGCUUCAGAACUAGAUUUGCCUUUAAACUUAACGACCCAGAUUAUGACUUUCCCUUCCAUUUUCGAGGGAACUUUCCUCUUCUUCCCUUUCCCUUGCCUAUGCCAAGAUAGGAAUAGCGGCAGCAGUAGGUGUGGAAGCAAUACACUUUCCUCCCUGUUCAAUUGAUAAGUCAUAACAAACUGAUCAUAACAGUUAGGCAAUGAUUGAAAGACUAUGUCAAUAGCCAAUUCCUCAUCAAAGUUAACAUUAAGCUUCAACAGACGAUCCACAUAACGUUAAUGCAUUUCAAGUGGAUCGUGACGGACUCUCCAUCCUUCAUCUUGCUCGUUAUGAGUGACUUGACUAUUACAUACCUUUCUUGACGGGCUCGUUGAUGGUACUUCUCCAUCAAGUCCUUAAACAUCUCAUAAGAUCAAUAGUCAUCAUAGAACCUUUGCAGUUUGGGAGUCAUAGUAGACACCAUGAUGCAUGACACUUUGGUAGCAUCAUUGCAGUGUCUCGUAUAUUCAACAAUUUCUUCAGGAGUAUAUUUAGUUUCAUCAAUCUCGUUUAGAUCCUUUUCAAGAACGUAUUCCUUGUCCUCGAACCUCAAGUCCAAUAUGAUGUUGCGGAUCCAAUCAUUGAAAUUGGAACCAUCAAAAGUGACCUUUGAGCAUAUGCUCAAGAGCGAGAAGUGGUUGGAGUUAUUAUUGUUGGAGCCAGAAGCAUUGUUUGAAGUUAACAUCUAAAAUGAAAAAGGAUAAGAUUUGAUUAGCUAAGAAAAUCCUUAAUAUAACACCCAAAUGAAAUACUAAGGCUAGCACACAACUAAAUAAUUCAUAAUUCAGAAGAGGGAUGUCGUAAUCUAUUUGUAAAUUAUUUAAAGGUAGGUAAUUGACGAUUUACCAAUUUCACCACCACAAAAACGAAAUAGUAAAUUAAGUAUUAACUGAAAUUCCUAGAUCUUUUGAGAUUCAUUGAACUAUUCAAUGGCAUGUUUAAUCUCGAUUAUUCCCUUUCCAUUUGUGACUGGGAUACCGAGGAUCACAAACAAGGUGUGAAUAACCAUGCAAAUUAGCUUGGUACCCUCGAUGUCAUUUAUCAUCUAAUUAAUGUGUUGGUUAACCACACACGCUCCACUAAUCAACAAUCAUUUACGAGCUACCCAUUCCCACCCUUUAUUAGUCCAUAUUAGUGUGCCGGUUAACCACACACGCUCCAUUAACGACUUUUAUAAAGUGCAAUGUGUAAUUUCAUGGAUUAGCAUCAAAUUCACAUUUUCCUAAAGUAACUAAGAUUGGGAAUUUUAUGAAAACAUUUAGUUACUACAUAUAUAUUUCAUUAUACUUAUUAAUGAGAAUUAAGUGUCCUAUCAAACCCAUUCGACUAACGACCCUCCACCAAUCAAGGAAGCGGUGGGUGAGAGUGGUCACCCACUCAAUCGCCAUUUUAUAGGCAGUUUCCUUAUACCCCCUUUAUAGAUUGGUUUCGUGAAUGAGGCCUACUAACGGUAAGACUAACUUUUCUUAUACAUAUAUAUAAAUAUUAACUUUUAAUUAUACAAUAUAUAACGGUGUAUUUUAAACAUUUAAAAUACUAGGGUUCUAAAUUUUAAUAUUUUAAAAUUAAACUAUUUAAUUUAAAUUUUAAAUAUUAUAACCGAGGGAGUAUUUUUAAAACCUUUCAAAAAUACUAGGUUAAAUUUUUAAUAACUAAAUUAACAAAUUAAUUUUACCUUUAUCAAAAAUUUAACCCAAUCAUGAAUUCAUGAUAAGGAUACAAAAUUACUGAUUAAAAUAUGUCAUUUUAAACAAUUAAAACGAAUUUAAGGUAAUUAUCCAAAUCAAUCAUUGAGACAAUUAUCAAAACCAAAAAUUUAGGAUCUGACAGUGCAACUCGUCGAGUUGGGCAAUGACCCCGUCGAGUUGCAUGCCAACUCGUCGAGUUCAAAGACCAACUCGACAAGUUCGAUGAACAGAAUGACGAUUAUGUUCCCUUCUCCUUUGAACAAUUCACAGUUGCAUCAUAUUUAACAGAAAACUAAUCAUAGGCUCUGAUACCACUGAUGGGUUUUGAGUCUAACAACAAUUCCUAAGUGUGCAUGCAACCCUAAUGUUUUGGAUCUAGGUUUUCACUAUUUGAACAUGCAAACUUGAGCACAAAAGGAGAAACCCUAGGAAGUGUCUACUAUUUUCGAAAUUCAUAUACAACUAGGGUUAGGUUACAUACCUUUAUUAUUAUAUUAUAAUAACAAUGAUUCCCUUGUAUAUCUUGAAGCUUGAGAACUUAGUGUCACAAGUGUAAUACCUAUAAUGGCUCACAAACAUACAAUGCAAGAGAAUGAUAUGAGAGAGAAGGAUAUCAUAUUUUUGGCUAUUGCUUCUUCCAAAGAGUGGCCAAAAAUUAUAGCCUUAAGGGUUCUAUUUAUAGUGCACCAAGGAUGCUAUAGAUAACCCUAAUCUCAAAUAUGGUAAUUAUCCACCUCCUUUGAUUAUCCAUAUAUGAUAAGAUAUUCUAAAAACUCUAGAAUAAUCUUACAUAUACAAUCAAAAAUCGUCCACCCUUCCCCUAGGAAGGUUCUAGACCCUUUUUUCAACUAUUGAACAAUUACACUUUUAGUCUCUGUGCUUUUAAUUAAUUCCUUUAAUCCCAAAAUUAAUUCCAAAUAAAAUUCUGAUUAAAUGUUAACUAAUAACAUGAUCACUAAUUAACAUAUUAUUUCCAUAACAUAUUAAUAAAUAAUUUAUUCCAAUUUAUUAAUCUAUUAGUAAAUUCUUCUUCUUCCUCAAUUAAUCAUCCUAUCUAGUUGCACGUGUGAAGGCAACACAAAAGGACCAUGCAAAUAUCAUGUAACAUCCCGAAUUCAGGUGUGUUUCUUAAACCCUUAUUCUUUUCCCAAGUUGUCAAGUUAAUCCCUUAAAGGAAUUGUUAAGCUUGUGAGUACGCUGGGCGUAUAGAAGAGUACGCUGCGCGUACUCGCGCACUUAUUUUGGACACGGACUCGCCUGGGUACGCUGGGCGUACCCAGGGUUACGCUGGGCAUAACAAGUCCAGGUGAAACCCCUAAUUUGGGGCUUGUGCACUAUAAAAGGAAUGCUAUGGCCUGGACCUCAGCCCCCAUUCCAGAUAGUGAAACCCUAAUAGAGAGUCCUCCUUCAUUUCUAGCUAGUAUGUUGGUGUUCUAAGCUUCUAAGUGUCAUUUCAAGGUGGUGGAAGAGAAGUAGAGGCCAUUUUGGAGACUAGAAGUGGUGAGCAAGAGUAGAUUUGAGCUUUUCAAAGGUUGGAGCUUUUUCCUGAGGUAAAAAGCUCAAAUCUUGGCUUGUCAUUUGUGUUGUGUGCUUCUUGGACCAAUAUUUAGGGUUUUUGGUCCCAAGAUGGAGACUUUAUGAGCAAAUUGUAUUGGCCUAGAUCUAUCAUAUUUUAGGACUUUAAGGGUUGUAUGAUCAUAAAAAUGCAAUCUUGGACGUGGAUAUUGAGCCAUGCAUGAGAUCUAGACCAUUUGAGGAGAAAGGAAAAGUGUUAGAGGGUGUAAGGACCUUUACAGCCAUGAAAAGGUUUAAAUGUUCCGACUUUAUGGGAUAAAAGGUCUAGAAUGAGUCAGAUCUGAAAGUGGAAUGAGUGUCUUAACCGUUUAAGACCAAAAAUCAAGGAAAGGCUGAAACUGAGACUUACGUUGGGCGUAACUCUCAGUACGUGCAACGUAAUGGGUUGAGACCCCAUUUGUAACUCGUCGAAAUACGCCCCACGUACAGAGAGAGUAUGCGCCGCUUACUGACUUCUAUUGACAUCCGUUGACUUUUAGGGUUUUGGUCAACCUUUGGAAUUUCAGGGUCAGGGAAGGGUAAAAUGGUCUUUUGCCCUUCUGUGGAAUUGUAGAGGGGAUCUAAUCUAGCCUUUGGGAGCCAUUACUUAUUUGAGAAUGUUGUUAUGUGUUUAGGCGGGGUUUAGACUAGUGUGUUCGAGUGCGAGAUUAUCCGAGAUACCCGAGGUGAGUCUUCUCACUAUACAUUACCUAUAGUGGUAUAUUUGUGUAGACCGGUGGGGGGGUCUUGUGUGCUAUGUGUAUGUAUGAGAUUAUGUGCAAUGUGAUAUAUGUAUGCUAUGUGAUUGUAUAGACCGGACUGGAGGGUCCAACGAUAUAGACCGGACCGAAGGGUCCAACGAUACAGACCGGGUCGAAGGGCCCAACGAGCUAUGACCGGACCAGAGGGUCCAACGAGCUACAGGACUGGAGGGUCCCGCUGAGACACAUCGACCGGAGGGUCAAACUGUAGCCUCGAGAGGCAUAUGUGUUGUAUGUGGUAUUUUGGGGAACUCACUAAGCCUUGUGCUUACAGUGUUUGUGUGAUGUGUUUCAGGUACCAGUGAGGAUCGCGGGUAGGCGCCGGCAUGACCAGUACACACUAUUGGAGUUUUAUAUGUUUGAUCUAGGGAUAUGAUUUUAUGAAUUUGUUAUGCGACACUUUGAGAAUUAGAAUCUUUUUAUGAAUGAAAUUGUGCUAUUAAAAAGUGAAAAAUUGGUUUGAAUUUCGGGUUGUUACAUAUCAAUUCAAGUACAUAUCAGUUAUAGUUACGGGCUUAGACACCUAAUCCACCAGGUCGUUCGAUGUUUGUGUGGUACCUAUUGUUAUAAGAGAACUCAACCAACAGGAGAUAUGUAUCCCAACUACAACCUAUAUCAAGAUCGUAUGCCUGCAACAUAUCCUCCAAUGUCUGGAUGGUCCACUCGCUUUGACCAUCUGUCUGCGGGUGGAAGGUCGUACUGAAGUGCAGACGAGUACCCAACUCAUCAUGAAAUUUCUUCUAGAAUCUAGAAGUGAACCGUACAUCUCUAUCGGAAAUCACCAAAAUCGGCACCCCGUGCCAAGCCACAACCUAGUGGAUAUAGAUAUCUUCCUGCUUCUCGGCAUAAAUACUCUCCUAGAUCGGAAUGAAAUGGGCGCUCUUGGUCAAUUGAUCCAUGAUGACUCAUAUCACAUUGACUCCUCGUGCUGUCCGCGCCAACUUAGUGAUGAAAUCCAUGGUAAUCUCCUCCCACUUCCACAUGGGGUUGUCCAACGGCUGCAUCUUGUCGUGAGGCCUUUGGUUCUCGGCCUUGACCUUCCUGCACGUCAAGCACCUCUCGACAGACCAGGCUACAUUCCGCUUCAUGUAGGGUCGCCAGUAAUCAGGACGAAGAUGGAUGGAAAAUAUGGGUUUGUACGCCUCCUCCAUCAGGAUUUGGUGCACAAUCUGCCUGAGUAUGGAACCCACACUCUAAGAUGAAGUUUCAAUAACCCACAACUAUCAUAAUCAAAGGAGGAAAUCUGACCCACAAUGCGCUCACUCUUCCAGUGCUCUUUCUUCAUAGCCUCCUAAUGAGCCUCCUAAAUCCGCUCCAUAAGCGGAGCACCACUAUCAUCCUCAGACAGAUAUCCUUGAUCGAAGCCGUGACUGCCUUGCGGCUAAGAGCACCAACCACCACAUUGCCCUUCCUUGGGUGGUAAAGGAUCACGCAAUCAUAGUCAUUCACCACACCCAACCGCCGCCGCCGCCUAAUGUUCAUAUUUGGCUGAUCCAUCAGGUACCUUAGACUUUUGUGAUCCGUGUAAAUAGUACAAUGGACCUCAUAAAUGUAAUAUCUCCAAAUCUUGAGGGUGAAAACCACUGCCGCCAAAUCUUAAUCAUGUGUCGGGUAAUUCGCCUCGUGAGGCUUCAACUGCCUCGAAGCGUAUACAAUGACGUGCCCCCUCUACAUCAAGACCGCGCUCAAUACCGAAGUAGACUCGUCACAAUAAACUAUGAAAUCCUCGACACCCCAGGCAGAGUCAAAAUCGGUGUCUCGCAUAACUUCUACCUCAAAGUUGUUGGAUUAGUGUCUAAGUCCAUAACUAUUUUGGUAUGUACUUGACCCGAUUAUGAGCAUGGUCCUUUUGGGUUGCCUUCACCAUAGCAAUAUGUAGGAUGAGUUAAGGAGAGAAAGGUUUAAAUACGAUUUAUUAAUAUAUCAUGAGAAUAAUAUAUUAAAAGAGAAAUCAUAUUGUUUAAUUAAUAUUUGUCAAGAAUUAAUUAAGAAUUAAUUUUGUGGCUAAAAGAGAUUAUUUAAAUUAGGGGACUAAAGUUAUAAUUAUAAGAUAAUUAUAAUCGGGCUAUAGAUCACCUAAUAAUAUAUAGGUUGGACGAAUUCUAUGGGAAGCCCAUUAGAAAUUGUCCAAGGGAUAUGUUAAAGGAGUCUAUGGGCUGCUUAGGGCUUAAGCAGCCAGAUUAGGGUUUCCUACUUGAAAACCCUAAUAGCCUACUUGUAUAUAAAGGGCCCCUAUGCCCCAAAAACGUGGACAAGAGUUCCUUUAGGGUUUCUAGACAAUUUGGACAGCCUCCUCUCUUCUCCUCCUCGUCCAAGUUGCUUAGUGGUGUUUGUGACUCCAUUAGAGGUGCAACACUUGAGGCACUAAGCUUUCUGAAGCCAAUCAAAGCAAGGAAUUGAUUGUUAUUGCAAUAUAACAAUCAAAGGUAAUUACUAAACCCUUAUUUCAGUUCUUUUUUGAUAGAUCUAGGGUUUAUAGCUUUAGAUAUUCAAUUGCAUGUUCAUUAGGCAACUAGAUCCAAAAGCUAUUAGGGUUUGCAUGUACAUUAUAAGAUUGAUGUUUUGCUUAAAACCCAUCAAAAGUCUCAAAUGCCGCCUGUUGCUCAGGCCCCUAGUGGAAAACAAAAGUCUUCUUUGUCAAUCGGGUCAGGGGUACUGCUAUCUUGGAGAAGUUCUGGAUAAAUGUUCGAUAGUAUCCAGUUAGCCCAAGGAAGCUCUGAAUCUUAGAUAGAGACUUCGGGACCUCCAAUCUCAUCGCGACCUCCACUUUGGCCGGAUUGACCAGAAUAUCGUCCUGGUUGACAAGGUGCCCUAGAAACUGCACCUCGUGCAACCAGAACUCGCACUUGGAGAACUUCGUGUACAACCUUUCCCUCCUAAGGGUAUCCAACACCUCUCACAGAUGCUCCUCAUGCUGCUCCUAGGUCUUGGAAUAGAUCACGAUAUCAUCAAUAAAUACUAUCACCGAUCGAUCCAACAUCGGUCGGCGCACGUGGUUCAUGAGCUCCAUGAACGCGGCUAGGGCAUUGGUAAAUCUAAAAGGCAUCACUACGAACUCUUAAUGUCCAUAACGAGUCCGAAAGGCUUUCUUCUACACAUCUUCCUCCCUGACCCUCAUCUGGUGGUAUCCCGAGCGCGGAUCAAUCUUGGAAAACCAAGACGCCCCAUGGAGUUGGUCAAAUAAAUCAUCGAUCCUUGGGAGUGGAUAAGUGUUCUUGGCCGUUAGCUUGUUCAUCUCCUGGUAGUCAAUACACAUCCGAUGCGACCCAUCCUUCUUCUUCACAAACAAGAUUAAUGUACCCCACAGCGAGCUAUUCGGCCGGAUAAAUCCCAUGUCUAACUGCUCUUGCAGCUACGUAGACAACUCCUAUAUCUCUGGUGGGGCUAAUCGGUAAGGUGCCUUGGCUAUUGGGGUUGCUCCAAAAAUCAUAUCGAUCCAGAACUCCACCUGCCUCUCCGGAGGCACUCAAGGUAAUUCCUCUAGAAACACGUUUGGGUACUCUCGAAUAGCUGACGCUCCAUCAAUCGUCGCUCUAUCCUGCUCCUGAGUAUCCAUAACGUAAGCGACAAACCUAGAGUAACCUUGAUGGAGAUAGUGAGUGACCCUAAGAGCUGAACAUAAAACGGGGCCGUGCAGAUCCCCCUCUCCCUGGACUACCAACUCUUCCCUACUUGGGGUCUGCGUACGCACUAGCUGGUGCUUGCAAUCAAUCACCGCUCCAUUGGGGCUCAACCAAGCCAUCCCUACUAUGACCUUGUUCCCAUGCAGAGGGAUGGGAACCAAGUCAAUAGAGUAACACUCGUCACACAUCCUCAAAACAUAAUAUCGAUAGACCCUCAAUGCUCGGAAAGACCGCUCAUCAGCAAUCUCAACCUCUAACGGGUAGUCUAACACACUCAGAGAUCCAAAAAACCUCUUGUUGAGUGCAAGAGAUACGAAAGAUCGAGUGGCCCCCGAGUCGAACAACAACAAAACAAGAAUAUCGUUCACAUGGUAUGAUCAUAUAACAAAACACAUAAAAUAUAAGCAUUGGAAUCGACAUAAAAUAAAAGUUAAGGGAAAGAAACAUACCCGUCACCAUAUCUGGUGCAGCCCGUGCCUCCUCAGCGGCCAAAUGAAAGGCUCGACUCCUCACCACUGGAGCAUAUGUCUUGCCCUGACGACCAUCUGUGAUUCGUAGGGUCGUUGGAGUUGGCACCAUCAUUGGUGCUCCUGAGGCUAGACUUAGGCAGAAGGCCUUCUUGUGGACCCUCUGAUUGCAAUGAAAGCAAAUUAGGUCUAAUGUCUAAAGGGUGGGAGUAGGGGCAGUAGAAUCCCUGCUAAAAUGUCCAGUCUUGCCGCACUUAUAGUAGCCUAAGCCCCCUGACCUACAAGCUCCCUCAUGUGACUUGCUGUAAUUCCCACGGCGGCCCCGACCCUGCUGGCCCUUCGACCUCGGGUCAAAUCCCUUAGGUUUCUUUGAUGAAAAUCCCAAUAGUCGAAGUAGGCUCUGCCUUCCUCUUCCCAAUGUGCUCUAUAUCGAUCUCUCGCUACCGCGCCCUAGCAAUCAUGUCAUCCAGAGUUGGGCACGCCGAAUAACUAACAAACUCCACUACUAGAAAAAAGGCCUUUUACGACGCUCAUUGCGCGUCGUAAAACGCUCAAACGACGCACAAAUGCAUGUCAAGGAAGGCCCUGUCAUAAAGAGAGACGACGCGCAUUUACGACGCGCAUUUAUGACGCGCAUUUACGACGCGCGGUUAUGACACGCAAUGCGUAUCAAGGAAGGCCCUGUCAUAAAGGAAGACGACACGCAUUUGCGUGUCGUAACCUUACGACGCGCGUGUUUAUGACACGCAAUGCGUAUCAAGGAAGCCCCUGUCAAGAAAGGCCAUGUCAUAAAUAAAGAUGACACACAUUUUUGCGUAUCAUAAUUUUAAAUGUUUAAAAAAAAAUAAUUUAUAGAUUUGCUUAUUUUCAAAUUAAAUUUGUAUUUAAUGUUUNAAAAAAUGAACUCAUUUAUAUACAAUUGCAUUAUCUAGCUUACUAUGUGCCAACAACUUCUAUCUUUUUCCUUCUCUGCAUAAACUUCAUUAGCAGCAUCCUAAAGAACUUCUAUCUUUUUCAUCAGCAACAUCCUCAAAAACUUCUAUCUUUUUCCUUCUCUGCAUAAACUUCUAUCUCACACUCAAUGUAGUUUUAAACAUCAGGUUUAAAAAAUCAACUUUAAGGUUGCCUUGUUAAAGAGAAUGACUAGAAUAGAUUUCCCUUUUUCACAAGGCAUGUGCUUGCUUGCACAUAUAUAUGGAAUCAUUCUAACAAAAAAAAACUGUUCAUGUCAACUACUCCAAGGACUAUUACGUAAUUUAACAUGAAGAAUUUUGUCCAGAUGAAAGGAUUGACUUUAAACUUUAUAAAAAUCAUUUAACAGAACUUACCUGACCAUGAAGCGUGUUGAUCCAGGAUCUCCUUGCCUUCCUGCUCUGCCACGAAGCUUUGUAAAGCAAGAAAUAAAUUAAAAAAGUGAGUCUGAAAGUAUAUGCUAAAUUUAUGUAAAACCUUAAAACACAAUACUGAUGCAAAGUUACCUGAUUAUCAAUUCUUCGGGACUCAUGCAAAGAUGUCCCAAUGACAUGGAGACCACCAAGUCGUUUGACUUCCAAUCCUUCAUGAAAGCAAUGAAUCUCACAGUCCUUUAGAACCGAUAAAUAGGCAAUUGCAAUGCAAGGACCAAGAGGGUACAUCUCUGCCUGUUCUUCCACAAGCCUUUGCAGUUCAUCUAAACCCAUUGACUGGCUCAUUUCAAUUGACUCUGAAAUUAUAGAUUUUGCCUUCUCAUAUGUCCAACUCUUGUUCUCACUUUUGCCCACGUAUUUAGCUGCGUUAUUUACCCAAAACCAUAUAUCAUUCACAUUAGCAUUAGGGCCAAAUGAAAGAAUAGCUACCUAGUUCUAAUUACCAGCAUCCUACUCUUAGUUUUUUUUUCGUAUCAAGACAUUGUACUGAAAACAAUAAUCAAGUCGCCAUGUUACAUACAUGGUUAACCCAAAAUCCUAUCUAUUUUCAUUGAUAAAUCCUACAAAAAGUAGACAACAAACCUUUGGUCGUGCAUUGAGGACAUUGUGGGGAAUCUUGCUAGCCCUCAGCAAAGCAGACAGAUAUUCUGAGUUCUCNAUUCUGAGUUUCGACACUGCACCAAUAAAUAAAUAAAUAAAGAUAAGAAAAUAUCUUCACACUUGGUUGCAUGCAUAAAGAUGCAUAAUGAAUACCACAAAAUCGCAAGUGAAGAAUGAAUUUCAUUGAAGUAGUAGUACCUCGUGGUCCCCACUAAAACAGGACGACCAACUCUGAACAUGCUUUCAACUUCUGCACGAACAUAUUCCCAUUUACCACGAGCAUUCUAUUUGCAAAACAAUUAGAAGCACUGUUAAAGAUGAUAAAAGGGUAGAAUGGUUAUUGAACAGAAUAAUAAUUUCUUACUGCAAAAGCUUGGAUAGGUAAAUCAUGACGAAUAUUUGCCAUAUUUGUGGGAACUUCAAUAACAGGCAUCUGGAACAUUUUCAAGAACUCCUUUUCCUGUAAAUAUUGACAAUGCAUCAUAAGUCGAGAAAGAUAUCCUGUAGUUGAUUCAGCUCGAGAACAAUAUGUAAUUCGAGGAUAAAUGAAAUAAAUAACAACGUACUUUCAUAUAUCUGUUUACAAUAGAAUCCUACUUUCAUCCUUUUCAUAUUACAACAAUGGAUUUGAAAAAUCUAAACAAUAAUAGCAAUGUCUUUCAAAAUGAACAGCACUUUUCACGGCUAUAAUUUGAUAGAAUUUUUAAAGUACAACAUCCUAAAAAGAAAAAAAAAUGAAAGUAUACAGCUAUAACCAUAAGUGGUAUAGUUUUCAAAGUACAGUGCCUUAUGAAAGAUAUCUUUUUUAAAGAGUAUGCUAGUAUGGUAGAAAGCAAUGAAAGUAGGAUGCUAUAACACACAAAUAGAUGAAAACAAGUAGUUAUUGUUACUUGUUAUAUUUUUAGCCCAUAUAGAAAGUGAAUACUUACUUCAGUUUUUGCAGUUCCUGUCAUCCCUGAAAGCUUUGGAUAAAGCUUAAACAUUGAUUGGUAUGUGAUUUGUGCCACUACAACUGAAUCAGCCUGCAAAGCCCAAGAGGAAUACAAGGUAAUAGCUUUAAACAAGAGUUGUCAAAAAGAAUGAUGAUGUGGCAGGCAAUCGCAAUAUAUACCUGGAUUGGUAACCCUUCUUUUGCCUCCACAGCCAGGUGAAUCCCCUCUGACCAUCGUCUUUUUUCUUCCACUCUCCCCGUCAACUUCAAAUGAACAUUAAUUUACAGCAAUAUAACUAGUUUUUUCUCCUAAAAUAAAAAUACGAUGUUUUUAAUACCUCGUUUAUUAUAAGAGCUUUCCCAUUUUUAACAAUGUACUGGACAUCUUGGCGAUAGAACUCCCAUUUUUAACAAUUUGCAGCUCCUCCAGCCAUUGUGCCCAACAUAUACAGAUUAAUUUCAAUGAUUUUUUUUUCCACAGAUUGAGAUGCUGCAAAAAAAAAAACAAAAUUAAACGAGUGUUUUUGAAGACUAUUUAAUGCUUUCAAAUCAUGUUGCUUUCGAUUCAUAAUUAAUUAUUAAUCAAGUAAAGAUAUAUUAUAAUUUAGAAGGAGAAAUGCAUACAUAUAUAGCCUCCCAUGCUAGCUCGGGAAUCUGCAGCAACCAUCACACCUUCCUUAAAAAUAAAAGCCAAAGUUGUUGUUCCCUUUGCUGGUUUUACCAUUUGGAUAGAAUUCUUCUGAAAUCCAUCAAACUGAAGCAAAGGAUUUGAUGUAGUGUUUUAGCAAUAUAUACAUUCACUUAAUAUCUAGCAGAAAGGAAAAGAGAAAAAGGCAAGAAUUGUAAAGAAACUCACAUCUGAUGUAACUGGUAGGUCAAAUGAAGGGGCAUCAGAAAGCAGGUCGUCACUUCCUCCAUAGAGUGGUGCACUUGUGCAGUUUAAGUUGGAAUAGUGUCUAAGGCUGCAACUAUAUUAGACAAGUAUUUGACCCGGUUCUAAUAAAAGCUCCAAGACCUCAAGAUCAACAAGGAACUCAAAGGUAUGNNNNNNNNNNNNNNNNNNNNNNNNNNNNNNNNNNNNNNNNNNNNNNNNNNNNNNNNNNNNNNNNNNNNNNNNNNNNNNNNNNNNNNNNNNNNNNNNNNNNGUGUCAUAAAUUGCGCGUCAUUAAAGGUCUAUUUUCUAGUAGUGCUCCCUAAUGUCUACUCUCAACAUGUCGUAAUACCGGGUUUUCUUCAUCUCCUCAUCAGUUUCAUAUUGGGGAACCAACAAGGCCCUCUCCCUGAACUUGGCAGUAAUCUCCGCCAUAGUCUCAGUCGUCUAUCUCAUGUCCAAAAACUCCCUGGCCAGCUACUGAAUCUCCACUGUUGGUGUGAACUCUGCCCAAAACUUGGUCACGAAAUCCAUCCAGGUCAUGGUCUCAAUUGUCGGACCUCCCAAAGCAUAACCAACCUCCUCCCACCAGUCCCUGGCUUGCUACCUCAAACAACCCGCAUCAAAUCUGACCUUCGACCCCUCAUGGCAGAAGUUGGUCAACUGAGCAGACUCAAUGUUUGCUAUCCACCAUCUAGUUGCAAUGGGGUCUUUCACCCCGAAGAAGUUUGGUGCUCCACACCCCCCUGAAAUCCUUGAAGGAGAGUGUGUGAGCCCUAGACUGGCUAGGUGCCAUAUCACUCCUGAAAGCCCUAAAGAGAUCCUCCAUCAACUCGAUAAUACCCUCCUUGAUCGACCUAAAAUCAUCGAGGUCACGUCAAGGACGCUUCUAGUAAUCUGUAACGCCCGUAGAUCCGGGCUAGUCAAUUUAGAGAUAAUAGGGGUCGAAAACAACUUUUCGACAAAAGAUUAUUUAGAAUAAAUAAUCUUAACCAAGUUGUAGAAUAUGUCUCAAGGAUUCCGUACAUAUAAAAAACGCCAAAAUCCGAGUUAUAACGAAGAAGUUAUGACCCGUCAAAGUUUCACGACGGAACCGGCACGAUACCAGGAAGCGUAAAUAGUGAAUUUACGGUAGAGUGACUUUUAGCCUUAGCGAUCUAUACAAAAGUCAUAGAAUACAUUAAACCGAGAACAUACAAAAAAAGAACGCCCAAAUCUGACUUCGUAUGACGAAGUUAUGAAUUUUCUAAGAUUUGGCUUAGCAGUGCACAGCCCGAAACUCGAAUUUUAGAUCGAGCGGUUUUUUGUCUAUGCGACUUAAAUGAGAAUUGAAGAUCUCAUUAAUAGGAACUCAACGGUAAAAAUACAGACGAAAACAGAGUCUGUAUGUAGAAGUUAUGAAUUUUACGCGGACAUUUAACAGUAUAAUCUCCUCGUACUGUUAAAUUUAAGAUUGGUCGAGAAUUAGCCGACAGAAUCAAGAUGAAAGUUGUAGAUCUUAUUUUUACCUACGCGUGGAUAUAAGGAACGUCAAAAAUGGAGCUCGUAUGUGAAAGUUAUGGAUUUUAGAAGUCAGAAGUGUGCUGUGCGAAAACGGGUGAUGUGGCACAAUCUUGGCCAAUGCUUUCUCCCCAAGUCUUGCCACUAGAUGGUGACAUGUGGCACCAAGUCCAGCCAUUUUGCACCCUAUAAAAAGAACCUCUCCCACCCUCAUUUUCUUCACACAUUUUCCAUUCUUUCUUCUCUUUACUCUCUCUCUAGAACCUCUCUCUAGCCCCGAAACCCCCCGAAAAGCCUAGGGAACCUCCCUAGCACGAGACGGAAGCCCCGGAGUGCUCGAAGGCUCCGAGAAGAAGAAUUUUUCGGCUUGGGAACACUGCUCUAAGCAAAGCCCGGUUUUCUAUAAAACCCGAUGUUUCAUCGAAGGAAAUUAUUUUUUUAAGAAGCGAAGCGCUGUCUGAGUUCGGAAUCACCAUAAUAAGCAAAGCCCGGUUUUCUAUAAAGCCCGGUUUUCUAUAAAACCCGCUGGUAGAUGAAAUAUGAGUUGGAUGAUGAGUUGAGAGGUGAUAUAGACCACGAGGUAAGGGUGAGAGGUGGACGAUGUGAGAAGCCUUUUGCAAAUGAUGGCCCCGUCAUUCAGCAGAGUAUGGAUGACAACCACCGACUAUUCUAGACAGUCUAGUGGAACACUAGCAGGCUCGCAACCUGUAGGUGUUAUGAACGAUGUGUUCACCGGUGUACUCUAAAAACCCAUUGACAAGUAUUGCGAGUGGAUUCUCAGAAAUGAUAAUGUCAAUAAACGAGAUAAUCCAGGAAGAUGCGCCUAAAGGACUCUACAGGCAGAAGCGCCUAAUAGAGAACCUCAUAACCCCGGCAGAUGCGCCAAAAGGACUAUACCGACAGAUGCUCCUCGUACAGAAUGUCACAAUUUUGGCAGUUGCGCCUAAGUGACAGAGCUAGCAGUUGUGCUUGACAGAUGUGUCAUUGACAACGAUGGAAUUCGUACCUAUUCCUUAGGAUAAUCUCUAGGAAUGAAUGAACGAGAAAUAGUUGAUUCUUAGGGUAGAUCCUUAAGAAUAAAGAAGAUAAUGGGGAUGGGUAAUUGGGUAAACUGUUUGAUGAUUAAACUUAAUAAUAUUAUUGUGGGUUGAAAACCCUAAGUACUUACCAGGUUUCCCAACCUGACCCACUCAGAUUAUUUGUAUCACAGGUGUCGAUAUCAAGUUACAUUACACUGAGAGAUUAAGGAGAUACAUAUCACUAGUGUAAAUGAAUGUAAGUUCUGUUUAUGCUUAUGUUUUUGUAUUAACGAUGACAUCCCAAAUGUUUUAAAAUGAAUAAAAUACGUUUCUUCGGAAAUGCUUUAAUAACGUAUUUAUCGUGUUUUUCUGGGAACAAAUUCCGCAACAUUUUUAUUAAAAGAGGUACUCUGAUUUUCAUAAAGCAUAAACAAAAUCGGUCUUUUCUGGCCGUGAAAAUGGGGAUGUCACAUAAUCUUAGAUGCGAUGAACUCCCGCAGGCCAUCAUCAAACGGCUCGGAACCCGUACCAAAACCAGACCCAUGUCCAGAACCUCUCGCUCCCUAACGUGUCGUCGCCAUUUUGAAACAAACCAUACAACCAUCAGGAUCAUGAAUACAAAUUGCGAGAUUUCACAUUAUACAAGCUCUCCUGGCUUCCUCGCGGCACUCCCCAAAUCGAGUACGGAUCCUCUGCUUCCGGUAGUACGGGCCCAUACUACCUUCCAUAUCUAUCAGUACAUUCCUCAAGGAUUGCUUUGAAUCUUCCAGGUCACUUCCUAUACAAACAUACAGUUGAAACCAAGUAAGGCUCCUAGCACUAAUCUCUUCCUAGACACCUCCCUAGGACACAACUCUCUCACUCACUGUGACAUCCCCAAAAUCACGGCCAGAAAAGACCGAUUUUCAUUUAUGCUUUUAAAUAAUUUCAGAGUAAAUCCUUUUGAUUUGAAAGAGUUGCGGAAUUUGUUCCCAAAACAAAACAUGAUAAAAUAAUAUUUAUCAAAGCAUUUCAUCAAGAGAUGCAUAUUCAUUAUAUAAUCAAAACUCGGGAUGUCAUGUUCCGAUACAGACCAUAAAGCAUAAACGAUAACAUUACAAGUCAUUCAACAAAUAUAUACAUAUACAGACUUGUAAACAAAACAAUUUGAUGAUUCAACCAUCUUAUGCCCUCGCGCCACUACCUGUAAUACAAAUAAAACUGAGUGGGUCAGGCUUGGGAGCCUGGUGAGCAUAUAGGGUUUUCAACCCACAAUAAAUAAGUUAUAUUUAAUUUCACCAACCAAUCACUAUCCCGAUUACCCAUUCCCGUUAUCCUCACUUUACGUCCCUAAAACAACAUCUAUCUCAAGGGACCUAAUCUAGGAUUUUCAUCGGGACGGACAUCACUGCUAAGGGGUUUCCUCAACAAUAGAUAUCCUAAAGGCAACCAUGAGGGGGAUAGAGUACACCGGUGAACACAUCGUUCACAACACCUACAGGUUAUGAACCUGCUAGCGUUCCACUGGACUGUCUAGAAAGAGUCUGUGGUCGUUAUCCAUACUCCGCUGAAUAACUAGAUCAACAACAACAACAACAUCGAGGCCUCUCAUCUGUUUAUUACACACCAACUAUCUACCCAUGUUCUACCCAACAUAUUAGUAGAUAAAAAUAUACAUUUGUAUACAUAGUUUAAAGAAAACCUGUAUAGCAUGCUUUAAUCAACACAUAUAUCACAUAACAGAUGAGGCACACACACACAUAACACAUAUCUCAUAAAGAAAUAAGCAGAUCUAUAAGAUAGAAGAGAGUGAAUACUCAUUCACACAUAACACAACCAAAUAUAUACACAUAGCACGUAUUUUUAUAUAAAAUACUUCGUAUUAUUGUAUUAGAAGAAAUAACUACACACUCACUUGAUCAGAAGAUGAUCGGACAGCACUACGGCUUAUAGAAGUAGUAAUCCACAGCAGAUCUGGAAGAUCUCCUCGAAAAUCGAACUUCUCGCGGGCAGAGCUUCGACUCGGGAACCGCACUUUUCGGGAUCUUCGGGAUCUCGGGACUUGCCUCGGGGCUAGAGUAUGAUACCGGGACUUCGGGGUAGCUUCGGGGGUUUUUGCACAGAGCUUCGACACGAAAACGAGAGGGAAUUGGCAAAAAUACCCGGAACCCUCGCAUCCUAUUUAUAGGAGGCUGGAGCCUCGGAGUACGCGGGGCGUACUGCGUUACGCGGGGCGUACUGCCCAAAACGUCAUUGCUUACGUAUCCGAAGUGCUCGAGUGCGAGUGUCGACAUCCCUCGGAGUACGCGGGGCGUACUCGAGUACGCGGGGCGUACCUCGGAUCAGAUCGGUGACUCCUUCGGAUAAUGCUUCCGAAUUUUGAUUUAAAUAUAAAUACAAAAUGAUUAAUAAACUUCGGAAAUUCAUAACUUCUUCAUACGAACUCCGUUUUCGACGUUCUUUAUAUCCACGGAAAGGUGAGACCACGCUCUACGACUUUCGUUUAGACUCCGUCGGCUAAUUUUGACUUUAUUUUUAUUAAUUAUUUUUAAUAGGCCGCGACAGAAACUUUCGUUAUAAAUUCAUAACUUCUUCGUUUGACGUCCGUUCUCGCCUAACUUUUUAUCGCUUCGAUACCAACAAUGAGAUCUUCGAUUCUCAUUUAGAUUGCUUCGGCUAACAACCGCUCGAUCUCAAAUCGAGUAAAACAGGCUGUAUACCGCUAAGCCGGAACUUCGAUAAAUCAUAACUUCCUCAUACGAAGUCAGAUUUGGGCGUUCUAUAUAUAUUCGGAAACCUCGUUUCAACUACUACAACAUUAACCAAAGAUAUUAAGUUUAUUUUACACUUAAAUUUUGACGCUUAUUUUUAUUCUUAAUUAAUCAAACCACAUAAUUAAGCAAUUAAGCACAAAACACAUAAUACUCAAAUAAUACAAUCUUAUUAUUUCAAAACGGGUUACAAAGGUUAACCUAGACUAUUACAUUGCUAAAAAUGGCAAGCCCGGAAACACAGGCGUUACAAUUCUCUCCACCUUAGAAUGAUUCCGUCCCCGGAAUCACACAUCAACAAACAAAUGCGGAUAGCGACUCAACAUGUCACUCUCCGUCUCCCAGGUGAGAUUCGGCCCAUUCGUGUGUUUCCAUCGGACAAGCACUAACCCAACCAUUUUGCGUCGCAACUUCUUAGUCUUUCGGUCAACAAUUGCCUCUGGUUCUUCAAUCAACCUUUUGUUCUCAUCAAUUCUCAAUUCAGAAAUUGGAAUUAUAUCGGGAACUUCUCCCGUGAACUUCCUCAAAUAACACACAUGAAAAGUGUUGUGAAUUCCAUUCAGUUCUUCGGGUAAUUCGAGCUUGUAAGCUUGGUUCCCAAUCCUCUGAAGAACUUUAAACGGUCCAAUAAACCUUGGACUCAACUUUCCCCUUUUACCAAAUCUUAUAAGUCCCUUCCACGGCGAGACUUUAAGCAAAACCGAAUCCCCAACCUCAAAAGUUAUCGGUCUCCGCUUCUUGUCAGCAUAGCUCUUUUGACGAUCCUGAGCUGCUAACAUUCUUUCCCUAAUUAUUUUCAACUUUUCAGCAGUUUGAUGAACCAACUCCGGUCCCAUAAACUGCUUUUCCCCAGCCUCAAGCCAACAAGACGGCGUACGACACUUCUGUCCAUACAAAGCUUGGUAAGGUGCCAUCUUAAUGCUCGAGUGGAAACUAUUAUUAUAGGAAAAUUCUACCAACGGUAAAUGUUCAUCCCAAUUACCUAGGAAUUCCAGAGUACAUGCUCUCAGCAUAUCUUCAAGUGUUUGUAUCGUUCGUUCGCUCUGACCAUCAGUCUGCGGAUGGUAAGCUGUACUUAAACACAACUUGGUACCCAAUUCCUCUUGUAGACUUUUCCAAAACCUCGAUGUGAAACGGCUAUCACGAUCCGACACAAUCGUUAACGGAACACCGUGAAGCCUCACAAUUUCCUUCACGUAAGAAUUCGCAAGCUUCUCCAUAGACCAUUUCUCCCUGGCCGCUAUGAAAUGCGCACUCUUAGUGAAUCGAUCAACGACCACCCAAAUCAUGUCGUGACCAUUCUUUGUUCUGGGCAGUUUAGUGACAAAAUCCAUAGCAAUGUCUUCCCACUUACCCAUAGGCACAGGCAAAGGUUCUAAACUCCCGUACGGUUUCUGAUGUUGUGUCUUGACUCUCGCACAAGUCACACACUCGGCCACAUACUUUGCAACAUCAAGCUUCAUCGUCGGCCACCAGUAGUAGGGUUUCAGGUCCCUAUACAUUUUAGUGCUACCCGGAUGAAUCGAGUACAUGGUCUUGUGAGCUUCUUCCAUCAGAAGAUCUCUGACUCCUCCUGUCUUAGGUAUCCAAAUCCGAUCUUGGAACACCUUCAGUCCAUGACUGUUUACACCGAACACCAACGUUUUGCCCAAACGUUCCUCCUUUCUGUCAUUCUUCUCAGAAGCUUCGCUCUGAGCUUUCUUUAUACUUUCCAAAAUAGUUGAGACAACUUCAAUUCUCAACGCUCUUGGCCUUUUCCUUUCGGGAUUGACUUUCCGACUGAGAGCAUCAGCAACAACAUUAGCUUUACCGGGGUGGUAAAGUAUCUCGCAGUCAUAGUCUUUAAGUAAUUCUAGCCAGCGUCGUUGCCUCAUAUUCAAUUCUUUCUGAUUAAAGAGGUAUUGGAGACUCUUAUGAUCAGUGAAAAGUUUGCACUUCGUGCCAUAGAGGUAAUGCCUCCAUAUUUUCAGAGCGAAAACUACCGCUGCCAACUCCAAAUCAUGAGUCGGGUAAUUCUUUUCAUGCUCUUUCAGCUGUCGAGACGCAUAUGCUAUCACCUUUUCUCUUUGGGUCAAAACACAACCCAAUCCAACACCAGACGCAUCGCUAUAGACAGCGAAGUCUUCAACUCCAUCGGGUAGAGAAAGUAUCGGUGCCUCGCAUAGCUUCUCCUUUAGCUUCUCAAAUGCUUCCUUAUGCUUCUCACCCCAAGCAUAAGUAGCUCCUUUGUGGGUCAAAGCUGACAAUGGACUAGCGAUCGAAGAAAAGCCUUGGAUAAACCUUCGGUAAUAUCCGGCUAAUCCUAAAAAGCUUCGAAUCUCCGUGGGACUUUUCGGUUGUUCCCACUUCGUCACAGCUUCGAUCUUCGCUGGAUCAACCAUUAUCCCUUCUUGGUUGACCACGUGACCCAAGAAUUGGACUUCACGAAUCCAAAAAUCACAUUUGGAGAACUUAGCAUACAGCUUCUCCUUCUUCAAAACUUCUAACACUUCUCGCAAGUGUCUGCCAUGCUCCUCCUGGCUUUUCGAGUAAAUCAGAAUGUCGUCUAUGAACACUAUCACGGAUUUAUCAAGGAACGGGUUACAAACCCUAUUCAUCAAAUCCAUGAACGCUGCUGGAGCAUUGGUUAGUCCAAACGACAUAACCAAGAACUCGUAGUGUCCAUAUCUAGUUCUGAAUGCAGUCUUCUCGAUAUCUUGCUCUCUUACUUUUAGCUGAUGAUAUCCUGACCUAAGAUCGAUCUUCGAGAAAUAGCUCGAACCUUGCAAUUGAUCAAACAGGUCAUCAAUCCUCGGCAACGGAUAUCUAUUCUUUAUUGUUGCCUUGUUCAGCUCUCUGUAAUCGAUGCACAUUCUCAUACUUCCAUCUUUCUUCUUUACAAAUAACACCGGAGCUCCCCAGGGCGAUGAACUAGGUCUAAUGAAACCGUUGUCCAAUAACUCCUGAAGUUGCAUCAUUAGCUCCUUCAUCUCCGUCGGUGCUAAUCGAUAAGGUGCUUUCGCAAUUGGCGUUGUUCCUGGCAACAAGUCAAUACGGAAUUCCACUUGUCGAUCAGGCGGUAAUCCAGGAAGAUCUUCGGGAAAUACUUCCGGAUAAUCACACACCACUGGAAUAUUCUGCAUCACCUUCUUUUCCUUCUUAGCAUCAAUCACGAAUGCUAAAUACGAUGUACACCCCUUGGUCAAACAUUUUCUGGCUUUCAUCAAUGAAAUGAUUCCAGAAUUCACUCUGCGUUUAUCUCCAUACACCAUAAACGAAUCUUUCCCAGGCGGGUUUACUUUGACUAUUUUCUUCUUGCAUAAAAUUUCGGCGUCGUUGGCGCUAAGCCAAUCCAUUCCCAAUACGAUGUCGAAACCAUUAAGUUCGAUAGGCAAUAAUUCCUCGUGGAACUUAUUCCCAUUCAGAUCAAUUAAGAUGUUUUUCAUGCGAUAGCUAACAGGUACAAACUUGCCACUAGCAACUUCGACUAAUAAAGCAUUAUCUAGUCUAACAACAGGCAAAGCUAGCUUUCUACCAAAUUCAUGCGAUAUAAAGGAGUAGUUGGCUCCAGAAUCAAAUAAAAUUUGGGCAGGCAAUUCGUUAACGAGAAAGGUACCUGAAGCGACAUCAGCUUCAUCUUUAGCAGCUUCCAGUGUCAUCUGGAAUGCUCUCGCCUUUGGCUUUGGCGGAAUGUUGGGUCUAGCUGCCUCCUUCUUCUUCGGGCAGUCCCUCGACAUAUGACCCUCCUCACCACAACCAUAGCAAACUUUCUUUGUGAGGGUACACUCAUUGGCAUAGUGCCCUGGCUUUCCACACUUGUAGCAUGUGUUCGCCACCUCACAUCUUCCAUGAUGCUUCUUCUUACAUUUGUCGCACCAUUUCGCUUCACCUCCACCUCCCCUCGAACCAGACUUCGAGAACUUGUUUUUCUUGUUGGACCCUGAAGUUCCAUCGAACUUCCUCUUUUCUCCAACAUCUAUUCUUUCCAGACCCUUUUCCUUCUGCUGGGCCUCCACAUUCUUAGCUGCACGAACAGCCGUUUUCAGAGUGGUUGCCAUUUUGACUGUCGGACCAAAGUCAGCAGGCAGUCCGUUAGCAAACCUCUCAAUCUUGGAGAGUUCCGUUGGCACUAGGUACGGAAACAACUUCAUCUUCUCAGUAAAUGCAGUAGCAUAGUCAUCUAUGCUCAUCUUCCCCUUCUUUAAGUUUUGAAACUCAUUGUUCAGAUCAAUCAGAUCUAUCUCCGAACAAUACUGCACCCUUAACUGUUCCAAGAACUCCUCCCAUGACAUUUUCAGGGCUUCUCCUCGUGGCAUAGUAUCUGCCAACAACUUCCACCAACUCAAGACUCCAGUCUUCAGUUGUCUAACCGCAAAGACGGUCUUCUGUUUGUUGCUACAGUCGCAACUUUCAAAUACCAUCUCCAUUUCGGAGAUCCAAUCCAUUAUCUCAACAGGCUUUGGGCUCCCAGAAAGACUUGGCGGUUUGGCGCCCAAGAAAUUCUUGUACAUACGCCCAUCCUUGUUGUUUCUCCUUUCUGGAUCGUUCCUUCGUUCCUCUUGAGUCCCAACUUGACUCACCAUGCGACUAUUGUUCCCUUCCUCCGAUUGCUCGGGAAUCAAUUCAGGUUCCUCAAUAGGUAUGACAGGUUCAUCCCUAUUAUUAUGCAACAUUUGUCGCAUCUCCUCCCUUUGUUCGGCUAGCAUAGCCCGAAUCAUGGCUUGCACCGCAGCCAUUGUUAUUGGUUCUGGUGCUGCUGCUACAACAGGUAUUUGCUCAAUCACUGGCGGUUGAUUCCUGUUUUCAUCUGCGUUUCCAACGCCACUCCUUGUUCUCACCAUUUUUGAUCUACACACCGAAUAAUUUCACCUUAUUACUCCAAACGAUUACAUGCUAGUUCUAAUAUCGUAUACAUACGCUUAGAAUCCUAAACACAUAAACCUUCAGAUCCGGUUGGCAACAAACCGUAGAUCCGAACAAAUAAUAUCAUAUAUGGCAACAUAUAACAUUUAGCACAUAAAAGCAUUUUAGGCAACUUUCCUAAAAUAAACUAGUGCUCGUGUCUAAAAUCCAACAGACACACAUCUCAAAAUUCCACUUAGCAUUCUAAGUUUAAGUCUAGAAAUCCUACAAAUUCCUAGUUCGCUUAAACUAAUGCUCUGAUACCAACUGUGACAUCCCCAAAAUCUCGGCCAGAAAAGACCGAUUUUCAUUUAUGCUUUUAAAUAUUUUCAGAGUAAAUCCUUUUGAUUUGAAAGAGUUGCGGAAUUUGUUCCCAAAACAAAACAUGAUAAAAUAAUAUUUAUCAAAGCAUUUCAUCAAGAGAUGCAUUUCAUUAUAUAAUCAAAACUCGGGAUGUCAUGUUCCGAUACAGACCAUAAAGCAUAAACGAUAAACAUUACAAGUCAUUCAACAAAUAUAUACAUAUACAGACUUGUAAACAAAACAACAAGAUGAUCCAUCCAUCUUACGCCCUUGUGCCACUUCCUGUAAUACAAAUAAAACUGAGUGGGUCAGGCUUGGGAGCCUGGUGAGCAUAUAGGGUUUUCAACCCACAAUAAAUAAGUUAUAUUUAAUUUCACCAACCAAUCACUAUCCCGAUUACCCAUUCCCGUUAUCCUCACUUUACGUCCCUAAAACAACUAUCUCAAGGGACCUAAUCUAGGAUUUUCAUCGGGACGGACAUCACUGCGAAGGGGUUUCCUCAACAAUAGAUAUCCUAAAGGCAACCAUGAGGGGGAUAGAGUACACCGGUGAACACAUCGUUCACAACACCUACAGGUUAUGAACCUGCUAGCGUUCCACUGGACUGUCUAGAAAGAGUCCGUGGUCGUUAUCCAUACUCCGCUGAAUAACUAGAUCAACAACAACAACAACAUCGAGGCCUCUCAUCUGUUUAUUACACACCAACUAUCUACCCAUGUUCUACCCAACAUAUUAGUAGAUAAAAAUAUAUAUUUUCAUACAUAGUUUAAAACCUGUAUAUCAUUUUCAUUCAAUAUAUAUUCCACAUAACAGAUGAGGCAUACCACAUAACACGUAUUCCAUAGAAAACAAUUCAGAUCUAUGAGAUAGAAUAAAGUGAAUAUCCAUUCACGCAUACAAUCACAAAAUAUACACAUAACAAGUAUAUCGUAUAAAAUACUUCAUAGUUACGCGUUAGAAGAAAGUAACUACACCCUCACACAUAUAAACCACAAUUUACUUAAUACACUCAAACCGCACUUGUAUUAUUAUCAUGUUUAUGAAAGGUAGUAUACACUCACUUGAUCAGAAGAUGAUCGGACAGCACUACGACUUGCAGAAGUAGUAAUCCUCAGCAGAUUUGGAAGAUCUCCACAAAAAUCGAACUUCUCGCGGGCAGAGCUUUGGCUCGGGAACCGCACUUCUCGGGAUCUUCGGGAUCUCGGGACUUGCCUCGGGGCUCGAGAAUAAUACCGGGGCUUCGGGGUAUUUCUGGCACGCAAAACGAUGCAAAACGGGAGAGAGAAGAGAAGAAAUUGGCAAAAGACUCGGCUGCCUUCGGAUUCCUUUUAUAGAGACUGAGCCUCGCNACGCCUGUACGCGGGGCGUACAGGUCUCCGAAAUCGUCACUGCAUGCGUCAUCCGAAGUGUCGACACUCUUCGGAGUAUGCGGGGCAUACACGAGUACACGGGGAGUACUUCGGAUCGGAUUGCUGACUCCCCUUCGGAUAACACCAGAUUUUCCAAUUAAAAUAAACACAAAUUAUUUAAUAAACUUCGGAAAUUCAUAUCUUCUUCAUACGAAAUCCGUUUUCGAUGUUCUUUAUAUCCACGCGUAGGUGAAACUACGCUCUACAACUUUUGUUUAGACUCCGUCGGCUGAUUUUGACUUUAUUUUUAUUAUUUAUUUUUAAUAGGCCGCGACAGAAAAACUUCGUUAUAAGUUCAUAACUUCUUUGUUUGACAUCCGUUCUCGCCUAACUUUUUAUCGCUUCGAUGCCAACAACGAGACAUUCGAUCCUCGUUUAGAUUGCUUCGGCUAAAAGCCGCUCAAUCUCAAAUCGAGUAUUUCAGGCUGCAUACCGCUAAGUCGAAACUUCGAUAAAUCAUAACUUCCUCAUACGAAGUCAGAUUUGGGCGUUCUAUAUAUAUUCGGAAACCUCGUUUCAACUACUACAACAUUAACCAAAGAUAUUAAGUUUAUUUUACACUUAAAUUUUGACGCUUAUUUUUAUUCUUAAUUAAUCAAACCACAUAAUUAAGCAAUUAAGCACAAAACACAUAAUACCCAAAUAAUACAUUCUUAUUAUUUCAAAACGGGUUACAAAGGUUAACCUAGACUAUUACAUUGCUAAAAAUGGCAAGCCCGGAAACACAGGCGUUACACUCACUGCCCUCAGCUGCCGAAAGGACUCCCACGAACUUCCUCCGACUGGCGCACGAAUAUAGUUACCUAUUACAAGAACCAGAUAAUUCUUCGAAUGAGAGGUCAUAUUUACAAUUGUUGGACUCAAAAAAUAGUUGCACAGUAGAGCCAAACCUAACCUUCUAAAAUUAUGUGGUUCGCCUAACAGGUAACUUGGAGUAUUCAUCCACUAGUUAGCUGAAGUUAGUUAGAAUCCCUAGAAGCACAAAGCAAACAGUAUUCGGGCUUCGGGUAACAAGUAAACAUACCUUAAUCAGGCCAUCCUAUUACUGGAAGGUAAGCACUAACAUGCAAGCCUAUAAGCUCAUACAGUAGGCAUUCAAGGCAUCUCUCCUAGCAUUCUACCAUGAAAAUUUUUAGCGGAUCCUUAACCCUAACUAGCAUGCAAUCCAUUUAUUCAUAAUCAUUUUAUAGCAGAUAAUAGGUAUGGCUAUCUUGGGGAAAAACAUACUUGAUCCUAGUUGAUUGCAUGCAUCACACAUCUUGUCUUUUAUUUAAGUUCUUAAUUUUGAAAAAAAAAAUGUUUUUCUUAUGAAAAUCUUUCAAAUCAUUGAUUGCAUGCAUCACCCGAGAGUGUGUCUGAAUCCCUCAAACCAAGGCUCUGAUACUAACUUGUAACUGAUGGGUUUUAGCCAUAAGAACUUUCCUAUGUGCGCAUGCAAAACCCUAAUGCUUGGAUCUAGGCUUUCUAAUAAACAUGCUUUGAAUCCAAGUCUUCUAAUGACUAAUUAGGUUAAAUAACAACAUUGAAACAGAUCUAGAAUCAUAACUUUGAGUUCCUUGUUGAUCUUGAGGUCUUGGAGCUUUUAGAGUCACAAAUGUCACUCCUCUAAUGGCUUACAAACACCAAUAGCAAGAAGAAUGUUUUAGGAGAGAGGAGAGGGGAGGAAUUCGGCCAGGGUUCUCUUACUUUAGGAGAGGUAUCGAAUUCCCUAUGCCAUGGGGUCUAUUUAUACUUGUAGACUCCUUAAGGGUUACAACCUAAACCCUAAUUGGAUAAUCUUCUCUUAAGGCUAUCCAAAUUCAUUCCAUAGAUAAGCCUUUGGACGAUUUUAGCUAUCCUAUAUCUCAUAGAAUUCGUCCAAAGCAUAUCCCAAUGGAUUUACAGUCUAAAGUUUAACUAUCAAACAAUUGACAGUUUAUACCCCUUUAUUUAAUUAAUCUCUUUAAGUCACCAAAUUAAUUCUAAUUAAUUCUAUGACUUAUAUUAAUCAAAUAACAAAUAUAUUAUUCAUUAUAUUAUUCUCAUAAUAUAUUAAUAAUAUUUACUCUCUCUUAAUAAAUCAUCCUAUCAAGUUGCUAUGGUGAAGGCAACCCAAAAGGACCAUGCACAACCGGAUCAAAUACUUGCCUAAUAUAGUUACAGCCUUAGACACUAUUCCAACAGUCUCCCACUUGGAUAAGUCUAGUAACUAUACAAGUACAAUUCGGUUUGCAAUCGUAGCUCUCAAAGACGCUGUCAACUCUGAUCUAAUCAAUCUUGUCCUUUAGAUAAGGGAACGUACAGUCCUCUGUUAGAUAUCAUGCUGACAAUCCUAUGGAAUGGUUAGUCAAGCAUUUAGGUUUCUCGAUCUCUGAUUUAUUUGACAUAGAACUUAAUCGAACACAUCAAUUCAGUUCUGACCGGGCCCGGCACAUAAGUCAAAUCAAAUCAUCGAGCGGCCGAGAUAUCGCUUUUACCUUCUUAGAUAAAAGUUACAGAUAAACUUCGACUUAUAUGCAUUUACUUAUUCAUUUACCAACUAUACACAACAAUACGUUUUAUAACACCAAGUUACUGAUGCGUUUUCGUAUUAUCAAUGUACAAUCAAUUAACAAAUAAUAAACCAUAUAUCUAGGUUUUAAGACUAUAUGAUAUUAUCGUCUUGCGAUCACCUUUUAUAUCGUAUUCCAUAAGGUGAUUCCAGCAAGCGCGGGUUUAUUCCAAUGCUCAAAACUAGUUCAUAAGCACUCAUGAACGUUGCAGCAAUCCUUUGCUAUGUCUAACACCAUUUAGACAUUCUACACACCAAUUCAUGACAAUCUUCAUUCAUAUCUACUCCCAACAUAUGAACGAUUGUGGACCAUUUGAACAAUUCGAUUAUUCCUAAUAAACUCAAUUAUUCUGGAAGUCAAAACAUGCAAAGUGAAACAAUAGCUAAACAAUUAACAUAAGAUAGUAACAUUACUCAUAAAUAAAACUCCUUUAUUUAAUCAUCAAAUGUUAAUUACAUUUAUCUAUUACACGUUUCUAAUACUAUCUAAUCUAUGCUAAUAUCAUCCUUCAGCCCAAUACUCCUAGCAUGCUGCAAGUGCUUAACCCUACUCAGUCCCUUCGUAAGCGGAUCUGCUGGGUUAUCUUCUGAUGAUAUCCUCUUCACUACGAGUUGUCCUUCUUCUACACGAUGUCUAAUGAAGUGAUAUUUUCUGUCGAUAUGUCUUGAUCUACCAUGAUCCCUCGGUUCCUUGGUCAAGGCAACCGCUCCUUCGUUAUCACAGAAAAUCUCCAUGGGCUCCUUUAUGGCAGGUACAACUCCAAGAUCACCGAUGAAGUUCUUUAGCCAUAUUGCCUCCUUCGACGCUUCGCUCGCUGCAAUGUACUCUGAUUCGCACGUUGAAUCAGCUACGGUUUCCUGCUUGGAACUCUUCCAUGUCACUGCUCCUCCAUUUAGGGUAAAGACCCAGCCCGACUGCGAACGGUAGUUGUCCCUGUCGGUCUGAAAACUGGCGUCACUAUACCCUCGCACCUUCAAGUCAUCACUCCCUCCGAGGACUAAGAACCAUUCCUUCGUCCUCCGAAGGUACUUAAGGAUAUUCUUCACCGCAAUCCAAUGUGCUUUGCCAGGAUUCCCUUGAUAUCUGCUAACCAUGCUCAAAGCGAAGGCUACAUCAGGGCGAGUACAAGUCAUAGCGUACAUGAUUGAGCCAACUGCGGAAGCGUAUGGUACUCGGCUCAUUUCUGCUAUCUCAGCUUCGGUACUCGGACUUUGAGUCUUACUCAAUUUGGCAUUACUUUGUAUCGGUAGUUCUCCCUUCUUUGAGUUUUCCAUACUAAAACGUUUUAGUACCUUCUCUAAGUAAGUAUUCUGACUAAGUCCAAUUAGUCUCUUACUUCUUUCUCUUACUAUCCUUAUUCCCAAAAUGUAAGAAGCCUCUCCGAGGUCCUUCAUAGCGAAGCACUUCCCGAGCCAGGACUUAACCUCCUGCAGAGUCGGGAUGUCGUUUCCUAUGAGUAAUAUGUCAUCGACAUAUAGAACGAGGAAGCUUACUAUACUCCCACUGGCUUUGACAUAUACACAAGAUUCGUCUUCGCUUCGUACAAAUCCAAACUCUUUGACUUUCUCAUCGAAGCAAAGAUUCCAUCUGCGAGACGCUUGCUUAAGUCCAUAAAUGGACUUCUCAAGCUUACACACUCUAUUCGGAUGCUUCGGAUCCACAAACCCCUCUGGCUGAGCCAUGUAAACAUCCUCAGCCAACUUUCCGUUAAGGAAAGCGGUCUUGACAUCCAUUUGCCAAAUCUCAUAAUCAUGAAAUGCGGCAAUUGCUAGCAUCACUCUAAUAGAUUUAAUCUUCGCAACUGGUGAGAAGGUCUCAUCAUAGUCAACUCCGGGAGUUUGAGUAAAGCCCUUCGCGACCAAUCGCGCUUUAUAUGUGUGUACGUUUCCAUCCACGUCGGUCUUCUUCUUGAAGAUCCAUUUGCACCCAACGGUCUUACGUCCGGGCACGUAAUCAACUAAAUUCCAAACUUGGUUAUCACACAUGGAUUGAGUCUCGCUAUCCAUUGCCUCUUUCCACUUUGCAGACAUUGGGCCUGCCAUGGCUUCCUUAUAGCUAUUAGGUUCAUCAAGGUUUACUAGUGUACCAUCACUAAUAUACGUGUCCCCUUCGGUAGUAAUAUGAAAGCCAUAAAACUGGGGAUGAACUCUAACUCUAUCGGAACGUCUAAGAGGUAAGGAUUCGUCAAUCGGUUCAACCGGAGUUUCCUCCUCGGGUUGAAUGCCAGCGGUAGAGGUUCCUUCAUCUAUCGACUCUUGAAUCUCUUCAAGUUCGAUUUGCCUCCCACUGUCUCCUUGGCUUAUGAGUUCUCGCUCUCGGAAAACUCCUCUCCUCGCAACGAAGACAACAUUGUCCUUCGGUCUAUAGAAGAGAUAUCCAAAGGAUGUCUGCGGGUAGCCGAUGAAAAUACAUCGCUCACUUCGAGGUUCAAGCUUGUCGUGAGUAUCUCGUCUUACGAAAGCCUCGCAACCCCAAACCUUGAUAUGUGCCAACGAGGGAGCUUUCCCUGUCCACAUCUCGUGAGGUGUUUUGGCAACCUUCUUAGUAGGGACUCGGUUAAGGAUAUGGGCGGCAGUCUCUAAGGCAUACCCCCAAAAAG